rnacentral:rRNA from 1 species
GAAUGUGAUCAUAUCAGCACUAAAGCAUAGGAUCCCAUCAGAACUCUGCAGUUAAGCGUGCUUGGGCGAGAGUAGUACUAGGAUCGGUGACCCCUUGGGAAGUCCUUGUGUUGCAUCCC